AACGAACGCUGGCGGCAUGCCUAACACAUGCAAGUCGAACGAGACCUUCGGGUCUUGUGGCGCACGGGUGCGUACCGCGUGGUAACCUGCCCUUAGGUUCGGUAUAACUCCCUGAAAGGGGUGCUAAUACCGGUUAAUGUCUUCGGACCAAAGAUGUAUCGCCUUUGGAUGGGGCCGCGUUGGAUUAGCGAGUUGGUAGGGUAAAAGCCUACCAAGGCGACGAUCCAUAGCUGGUCUGAGAGGAUGAUCAGCCACGCUGGGACUGAGACACGGCCCAGACUCCUACGGGGGGCAGCAGUGGAGAAUAUUAGACGAGGGGGGAAAGCCUGAUCAAGCAAUGCCGCGUGAGAGAGGAAGGCGGUAGGGUUGUAAAGCUCUUUGAGCCGGGAUGAUAAUGACAGUACCGGGAGAAUAAGCUCCGGCUAACUACGUG
rnacentral:rRNA from 1 species